GCCGGAGUGGCGGAACAGGAAGACGCAACGGACUUAAAAUCCGUUGGGGUGUAAGCCCCGUGCCGGUUCGAUUCCGGCCUUCGGCACCA
rnacentral:tRNA from 1 species